CCGAGGUGUCAGCACAGAGCCGACGCGGGGCUCGAACUCACAGACUGCGAGAUCAUGACCUGAGCCGAAGUCGGACGCUUAACCGCCUGAGCCACCCAGGCGCCCCAGGAAACGUUUCUUUAAGAAGCAACUAGGAGGUUCCUCAAAAAGUUAAACUGAACCACCGGAUGACUCAGCAAAUCCACUCCGAGGCAAAUACUCCGGAAAACCAACCACAGACGUCCGCGCAAACACCUGCACACACACGUACGUGCACAGCAGCGUUCACUACUCGCAACGGCCAAAAGGCGGAAACGACUCGAAUGUCUGUCAACAGACUACGGGACUGCCAAAAUGUGGAAUAUGGCCACACCGUGGCACAUCUUGGAGCCGCUAAAAGGGAUGAAGCACGGAUUCACGCGACAACGCGGACGAACCUCAAAACCGGGCCGCCGGGGGAAAGCAGCCAGCCACGGGAGGCCGCGGAUCAUGGAGGCGCCUUUACACGAACUAUCCAAACUAGGUAAAUCCAGAGAAACGGAAGGCAAAUGGGAGGCUGCCGGGUGCCGGGAGAAGAGGCAGAGGGCGUGGUGUUUUGCGUUGGGCCGCCGCCGAAGUUUCAGAAUUUGCUAGCGGUGACGUUUGCGCGGCACCGUGGAUGUGCCAAAUGUUGCCGCAUCAGACACCUGAAUGGCAGGUGGAUUUUAGCCUAAAAAACAGUCGCCGCCAAGCAAUGUUGGCAGGGCCGUGCUGGGCCCACUGCUCCCUCUUCCCAGGCUGGGCUGUGCUUGGUGCCCGAGCUGCACGAGGCCCCGGAUCCAAGACCCCUACGCCGACACGGCCUGUCUGGGAAAAGGUGCAUCACCUGGGAGACGCCGCGGCGCCCUAAGAGGCUUGUUUGGAUCUCCUUGGCUGCGUAGUACAUCCGCACAAUGGAAUACCACUCAGCACUCAAAGCCAAUGAGCUCUCAAGCCACGGGGAGAUGCGGAGGAACCUUAAAUGCGUCACGCUAAGUGGAGGAAGCCAAUCUGAAAAGGCUCCACGCUGAACGGCUCCCACUCUGAGAUAUUCUGGAAAAGCCAAAACUACGGAGACGAGAUCCUCGAGCCCAGAGAGUCAGAGAAGGAUUUUAACAACCUGAACACGAAAGAGGCUGCCACCAGGGAGAAAACCGAGGUCAAACUGCGCAUGAGUGUAUGAAGCCACAUUUACGAAUCGUUCGGCGCCCCGGAGAGGUGCUCUCACAGUAGAAAUUGGGAAACCAGUUAUCCCAGGGAAAACAUUUUUGUGGGCGGUGCUGCGGUCGGCCAGGAAAAGUCAUGGGCUUCCAGCUGGCUUAAAUAGGUGCCAUCCCUGAAUACAUUUUUGUUUACAAGACGCCAACCAACACUGAUGUAUUAGGCCACCUCUCCCAGAUGGACGAACGGUAUAUGAGACAGCCGCUUGGCGUUUGAAAUCGGUAAAAUUCUUGAGGUCCUAGUAGACAUAAAGCUCUUUCGUUCAUUGGAUGUGGUUCAGCGUUGGCGACACACUCAACUCCCAACGUCCCCGACAAACACUGGCCACACAAAAGAGCCUUGUAAUUUGUAAACAUGUAUGAGUGCGCCCGCGCUCGGACCAACACAAAGGAGUGGCCCAUGAAUGCUUCCUACUCCAGGCAUCUGAUGUCAGUUUCAGUUCCACAGAGUGUACGUCUUCUGGUCCCUGAAACAGGGCUCUUGUCUUGUGGACCCUGCAUAUGUAAUUAAUCCCAGCUUGAGACCAGUUCUGUACCACCAUCCGCCCGGCCCCCAUCUUGCCCAAUGAGACCGUGCGAUCGAGAGGAGGUCGGUGGCGAUUUUUCAGGACCAUUUAGGUUAGGGUUUAAACGACAACGUAAGCCACGCCGAGAUGCCGUCACUUUCCCGUGCCUUCCGAAACGAGGCUCCGUGACCAGGUAGGACAAGGGGGGAGGACAUUCAUAUUCCUGGCGAGUUACAAUGCCCCUCUUUUCUCGCAACUCACAACCACCCUGAUCAAUGAACAAAGCAAGUGUUGUUUGGAGAAUGAAUGAGGACAGCUCUCUUCUGUGCAUUUCAUUAAAACCUGAAAGCUAUGGUUCCCUGCCAGAGAUGAUGCCUAGUGAGUUCCAACAGCCUAACAUUCAAUUCUGACUCACUACCAGUGCGCCCAGCUCCGCCCUGGUCGUCCUGAAGUGGAGGGAUAUUCAGCAAGCCUGACGUUUGUUGAUCAUGAAGGAUUUUUCUCCCGUUAGGGACCAAAUAAAGGUUCUUUGUGGCAACGGCUGGAAACGCAACACGAGACCUUUCUUUACACCGUUAAGAAUGGACAAAUAGUUCACCGAGUAAACCAGAGACUUUAUUUUUUAAAAGCAGAUAACACCAAAGUACUAUGUAGUAUCCAUAAAUCGUUGCAAAAAUAAUUACUUUCAGAACAUCCAAUCUAUAAGCUGAAUCAAUGGUUACAGCUAGGAUUUUCAGCCAAUAUACAGAUUUUUGUUCAAGCCCUAGGCUUGAUUUCUACAUAUCAUUCACAUGCACGCCCUGUGCAUAUUCAGUAUCAAAACGGGGACUCUUGAAAGCCGGACCCCAGCUUUAUCUUGAUUUCAACGAUGACACAACAGCCAACCGAGAACUCUGGUUUGCCGAUUGAGUCCCAGAAAUCAUGUCUUCCGACGUCCUACAACAAACUGUAUCUCUGAAAAAUAAAAUCAGAAUUUAGAUUCCCUUGCAACAGUCAGGUCCCCAAGCUCUCCAGCACCGUGGUACCGGGAUGUGCUGAAACUGCUCUUCCUUGGCCUUUCUAACCACUGGGAACCCAAAUGGGGUCCCUCUUUAAGAGCGCCAUUAUAGAGGUUUUUAAGAACCACGCUAAACCCAAGGAAAGGAGUGGAUGAAAUUAUUCAUUACUUUUUCCGUUCAGGACCAAAAACAAAAAAAGAGAGAAAGUGCACUGGCAAAUGGGAACGUGGUGACAGUCAUACGGUUAAGAAAAAUGGUUCUAUAAAUCCCUCCUUUCAAAAUGAGGUCCCAAGGUGUUUAAGACCAAAAGGGGGUCAUAAGAGCGGUUAAUACAAACAAUUCCUCUCCAAGAAUAAAAAAAAAGCCCUUCAUGGAAAGCAGCUGAG